rnacentral:rRNA from 1 species
UACGUAGGGGGCAAGCGUUGUCCGGAAUCAUUGGGCGUAAAGAGCGCGUAGGCGGCCCGAUAAGUCCGCUGUGAAAGUCAAGGGCUUAACCCUUGAAUGCCGGUGGAAACUGUCGGGCUAGAGUCCGGAAGAGGCGAGUGGAAUUCCUGGUGUAGCGGUGAAAUGCGCAGAUAUCAGGGGGAACACCGAUGGCGAAGGCAGCUCGCUGGGACGGUACUGACGCUGAGGCGCGAAAGCGUGGGGAGCAAACAGG